rnacentral:tRNA from 1 species
GGAGAGGUAUCGAAGCGGUCAUAACGAGGCGGUCUUGAAAACCGUUUGGCGGCGACGCCACAUGGGUUCGAAUCCCAUCCUCUCCG